GGCUGGUCCGAAGGUAGUGAGUUAUCUUGAUUGUUCACAGUCAGUUACUGAUCGAACUCCUUGUUCUACUCUUUCCUCCCUUCUCACUACUACACUUAAGUAGUCUUAA
ensembl:Y_RNA Y_RNA Y RNA